rnacentral:rRNA from 1 species
UAGGGAAUCUUCGGCAAUGGACGAAAGUCUGACCGAGCAACGCCGCGUGAGUGAAGAAGGUUUUCGGAUCGUAAAACUCUGUUGUUAGAGAAGAACAAGGACGUUAGUAACUGAACGUCCCCUGACGGUAUCUAACCAGAAAGCCACGGCUAACUACGUGCCAGCAGCCGCGGUAAUACGUAGGUGGCAAGCGUUGUCCGGAUUUAUUGGGCGUAAAGCGAGCGCAGGCGGUUUCUUAAGUCUGAUGUGAAAGCCCCCGGCUCAACCUGGGAGGGUCAUUGGAAACUGGGAGACUUGAGUGCAGAAGAGGAGAGUGGAAUUCCAUGUGUAGCGGUGAAAUGCGUAGAUAUAUGGAGGAACACCAGUGGCGAAGGCGGCUCUCUGGACUGUAUCUAUCGCUGAGGCUCGAAAGGGUGGGGAGCAAACAGG